AUGAAGAUACUGAUAAAUAAUGUUGUGAAAAAGGGGAAAAGAACUGAAAUAUUUCCCAUUAAUAUGGCAUACAUUUUUUUCAAGGUGUUUUAUUUGCUAGAGCAACACAGGCUGUUGAAAGAUUCAAUAAGAACACACAACAUUACAAAAACCACCAAGAAGCCAGUUUAUAAGGCUGAGGAAGGGAGACAUGGCUCAGGAAGAGCACUUUGCUGGAGACUUUGGUGCUUAUGGAAGAUCUCUCCAUUGCACACUGGUUUUUUCAAGACAUCUCACUCUCCUCUAAACUCUCCAGGCUGUAAUGUACGUGAAGGCUACCCAGGGUCCCAGUCAUCUUGAUUUGGGUACUUCUAUCACUACCCUCAUCCUAUAUAUGUAAUGUUUUAACUCUUCUCCACAUCUUUUAGUAGUAUGAAGAAAAUUCAAAGGUGAAAAUAGUUUUUGAAAUUAUAGAAUGUUAGACCAACAAUAUAUUACUGUACUUUAUUGAUAAUAUUGUUUCCAUAAUAAAAAUAUUUAGUACAAAGUAUGAUAUCCUGCAUGAGUUCCACAUAAAUAUUUCCAUUAUAUCACUGAUAUGGAUCAGAAAAAUUUCAGUAUGCACAUGCUGCAAAUGCAAGUGUAAUUGAUACAAAGUAUGUAUCUUAAUGUACAUCUUGAAUAAACAUAAGAAAACCAUAGCUUAAUGAAAAACAGACUGUGUCUUACAAUGUGCAAUCGUGCUUUUACAUCUAAACUGGACCUCGGGUUUAGAAAACAAAUCUUAAAUCAGUCCUAUUCAGAGGACAAAUCACAGUUCACAUACUUGUAAAAAACUUUUGUUUUAGGAAAGCCUUUUGUGGAAAAGCUUGGGAAACUCCAUCCAGCUACAGUGGUGGAGGGGUGGGAAAGGACAGAUUGAGGUAUCAGUUCAAACAAUCUGAGGAAAAAGUUGAAUAAACAUUGAAGACAACAGAAUAGAAACCAGACGCCAAAUAUUAAUUCAUGGGGUCUUCAAAGGGGAUUUUGAGAUUUAUUUUAAUUGUUGUUGAAAGAAAAAGAUUAAUUUUUGGAUGAAAAAUGUAUGCAAAUUCAUCUCUGGUCAACACUAAAAAAACCCCAUUUCCUACACAAAGCAGAAAAAAGCAAAGCAAAGAAACCUGUAAUAUCAACUCUGUAAUCCCCCAAAGUGGCCUUUAACCUGGGUUUGAAAAGAGUAGGAAAAGAAAAAAAGCUACAUAAGAAUAAUAAGGAAUGUAGUGCCUGAAUCAAGGGACAUGAAUCUGGUGCAAAAAUGCGAAAUCUUAAGGGCUGAUGUGAUAUGUAAACCAGGGAACAAUGGCACUGUUCCUGAGUGUCCAAAAUGGCAUUUGGAGAACGAGAAAUAAAGAGGAGCAACCUCUUUGUCCAGUUUGCCAGUCCCACAGGGUCUGUGUAGGCACCAUGGGAUCAUGAGGGAAUAAACCCAACAGUGAAGGGGUGUGUGUGUGUAUAUAUGUAUAUGUAUAUGCAUAUAUAUAGUGUGGGGAUGUUCUGUAGGGGCUGCAGGGUGGACUUGCUGAAUGUCUCUAAAACGACAGAUAAGGAUUGACAGAAAUGCACAGGGAGGUUUGUUCCUGUUCAGUGAAAAGAGAUGGGACGGCUGGGGUUUUCAUUAUAUAAUGUCAGAGGCUUCCCCAGAGAUGAACUUGGCAGAUUUUACCUGCUCCAUUCCCUCCUGAGGAAGCGUGGCAGGAUGGGACAUCCUUGGGUGUUGCUCAGCAGAGAUGGUGGGCAGGAAAAUGCACUUCUGGAUGUCCAGCCACUGUUGGUGUUGGAGGGAGCUGGUGGAAAAGGCUGGCAGCCAGGAGGGUAAGGCAAAAGGAGCACAGCACGACUGAGUCGCUCACUACGAGUGAAGGAGUGAGUGUGACAAUAAUGGGCUGGUGGGCUUUAAAAAAAUAACCCGAGCUGCUUAAUGCUAACAAACAUCCUGUGGGAAAGUUAAUGGCUGCUGAAAGAGGCUCAAUAAAGGAAAGUGACAAAUCCUACUAUAGACGAAAGAGGAGAAAAUAUCUGAAAUAUUUCCCGUUAAUAUGGAAUGUAUUUUUUGUUUAAGGUGUGCUAUUUGUUAUAACAACACAGGGUGUCAAAAAAACCCAAACAAACAAGCAGGAAAGGUGUGCCAAGCAUGGCACAAGAAACUCUUCGGUGACCUGAGAACUAAGAGGGGAACAACACCACAAACAAAUCCUAGAAAUAAACAUUUCCAGCUGUAAGAGUGCGGGUGAGGGGCCGGGGGAAGCUUUGUCCCAGACAGGGACAGCAGGCUCAAGGCUGCCUGUGGGGGAGCGGAGCACUGUCACAGCGAGGGGUGUCCGUGCACAGGGGCACGAACGAGCCUCUUUUGGGCACAGGGUGGGCAGGACGCCCUCAGCACCCCCGGAUCGACCCUCUCCAUGGGCACGGGCGGCGGCGGAGGGUGGCGAGGGCGGGGGCCGGGGCCGGGGCCGCCUCGCCUCGCCUCGCCCCCGCCCGCAGCCCCGCGCCCCGCGGACACACCCCGGCCCGGCCCGGCUCUAGGACCGGCCGUGGGUUUGCCCGGAGCCCGGCUUAGCGCCUGCGCGGAGCGCCG
ensembl:lncRNA